rnacentral:rRNA from 1 species
UACGUAGGGUGCGAGCGUUAAUCGGAAUUACUGGGCGUAAAGCGUGCGCAGGCGGUUCGUUGUGUCCGUCGUGAAAGCCCCGGGCUUAACCUGGGAACUGCGAUGGAAACUCGCGAGCUGGAGUGUGGCAGAGGGGGGUGGAAUUCCGCGUGUAGCAGUGAAAUGCGUAGAGAUGCGGAGGAACACCGAUGGCGAAGGCAGCCCCCUGGGCUAACACUGACGCUCAGGCACGAAAGCGUGGGGAGCAAACAGG